CGCGUAGGCGGUUUAUUGGGUGUGAUGUGAAAGCCUUGGGCUUAACCUGAGAAGUGCAUCGCAAACUAAUAGACUGGAGUAUAUGAGAGGGUGGCGGAAUUUCCGGUGUAGCGGUGAAAUGCGUAGAGAUCGGAAGGAACGUCAAUGGCGAAGGCAGCCACCUGGCAUAAUACUGACGCUGAGGCGCGAAAGCGUGGGGAGCGAACAGGAUUAGAUACCCUGGUAGUCCACGCUGUAAACGAUGAUGACUAGAUGUUGCUGGGGGAACCUAGCAGUAUCGAAGCUAACGCGAUAAGUCAUCCGCCUGGGAAGUACGGCCGCAAGGUUGAA
rnacentral:rRNA from 1 species